CGAUGUUGUGUUAUUAUAAAGAUGAACAUAUUUGUAUAAAAUGAUAAAGAUUUGUGACAGAAUGGAUCAAAAGUCGGUCUAUUCCAUCUGUCAAACUGACGUUUUAAACUUCAAAC